rfam:Tortispora caseinolytica NRRL Y-17796 unplaced genomic scaffold CANCAscaffold_1, whole genome shotgun sequence.
GGCUCGGUGGUUUAGUGGUAUAAUUCUCGCUUAGGGUCUAACUCCUGAGCUUAAUUGCGAGAGGUCCCGGGUUCAAUUCCCGGCCGAGCCC